rnacentral:rRNA from 1 species
GACGAACGCUGGCGGCGUGCUUAACACAUGCAAGUCGAACGGAAAGGCCCUGCUCUUGUGGGGUGCUCGAGUGGCGAACGCGUGAGUAACACGUGAGUAACCUGCCCUUGACUUUGGGAUAACUUCAGGAAACUGGGGCUAAUACCGCAUAGGAGCUCCUGCUGCAUGGGGGGGGUUGGAAAGUUUCGGCGGUUGGGGCUGGACUCGCGGCUUAUCCGCUGGUUGGUGGGGUAGUGGCUUACCAAGGCUUUGACGGGUAGCCGGCCUGAGAGGGUGACCGGCCACAUUGGGACUGCGAUACGGCCCAGACUCCUACGGGAGGCAGCAGUGGGGAGUAUUGCACAAUGGGCGGACGCCUGAUGCAGCAACGCCGCGUGCGGGAUGAUGGCCUUUGGGUUGUAAACCGCUUUCGCCUGUGACGAAGCGUGAGUGACGGUAAUGGGUAAAGAAGCACCGGCUAACUACGUG